rnacentral:misc_RNA from 1 species
GAUGAAGAACGUAGCGAAAUGCGAUAAGUAAUGUGAAUUGCAGAAUUCAGUGAAUCAUCGAAUCUUUGAACGCACAUUGCGCCCCCCAGUAUUCUGGCGGGCAUGCCUGUUCGAGCGUCAUUACAACCCUCAGGCCCCCGGGCCUGGCGUUGGGGAUCGGCGGAAGCCCCCUGCGGGCACAACGCCGUCCCCCAAAUACAGUGGCGGUCCCGCCGCAGCUUCCAUUGCGUAGUAGCUAACACCUCGCAACUGGAGAGCGGCGCGGCCACGCCGUAAAACACCCAACUUCUGAAUGUUGACCUCGAAUCAGGUAGGAAUACCCGCUGAACUUAAGCAUAUCAAUAAGCGGAGGA